CUGAUUAAACUGAGUCAUCUCUGCCUCCCCUUUCUCAAGUUUAUCACAGAUGAAAAGCAGAGAGCCUGUCUUGUUCACUCACACACACACAAAGAGAGACAGACAGAGAGAGAGAGAGAGAGAGAUGUUUGAUCAGCUGCUAGGCUGCACUCAACAAAGCUGUCCAGCAGCUGCACAGACCACCUCUCCAGGACAAUGGAGAAGGCCUGAACCAUGGGGCCAUAUGGCCUCAUCUGCUGGGACAUCUGAAAGAUUCCCUGGACCAGCCACUCUUGAUCCAGGGUCUGCUAAACCCGACUGCCUGCUUCAGCAGAGGACCUGACUGAAUCCGGACAAACAACAUGUCCGCGCAAACACAGAGCUAAGUUUGCUGUCUUAACAUCAUCACCGGUAGCAGGAGCAAAGAUCCUGC